UCUGAGCUCCAUGAGCAUAUGUCCCACUGUCUACUUGGCGUCUUCUUGAGAAUCUUCAACGUUACCUGAAAUUUAAUAUGCUGAAGACCAAAGGGUCUUCCUCCCUCCACCCCUGGUCCCUAAGGCUGGCCCUCCCCCCAGGGCUCCUCAGCUCACUAGAUGGCAAUGCCGUCCACCUGCUUACACAAGCCAGUGUCAUCCUUGGCCCUUCCCUCUCUCUCCCACCAUUUCAUGUUAACCCCCUCACUCAGCCCUGCCAAUUUUACUUCUUCGGCAUCUCUCCACUCCAUCCACCCUCUCCCUCCUGCUCCAUCACUAGUCCGUGUGGCCUCGGUGUCCCAUCUGGUUGCUGUGAGGUCCCUCGGUGACCUCUGUGCCCAUCGAACCCCACCCAGAUGUUCUUCAUGCUGCAAUCGGAGGGAUCCUUUCAAGAUGCAAAUUUGAUCACACAUUCCCUCUCCCCAUUCAAUAGCCCCGCCAUCGCUCUUGGGAAAAGGAUGAAAUCCUGGUCUCUGCUUGCUUCUCAUCCCAUCUCACUCCUGGCACAGCGCCUAGCACAUAGUAGGCACUUGGAUCGGAACCCAGGCACUCUGAGCUGAGAACCAAGCUCCUCGUGUUUACGCUGUUCUGCCCACUCCCUGCACUUGGCACAGAGGAGGUGACAACAUGGUGGCCUGUGGAUGGAACCCAGCAGAAGCAGGGGGGAAGGCUGCUAGCUGGGGGGGCCCGCAGGGCUGAGCGACUGACUAGCCAGGCCUGGAAGCCAUCUUGACUGCAGCCUCCCCAAGGCAGACACUCCCCGGGGCUCAGGGAGGGCCAUCCUUGGGCAGCAGCUCCCGGAAGUGAAACCACCUGCUCAGCACUUGGGGGAAAGGGGCUGGAGGGCUGGGCCUGGCCGGCUGAGCAGCCCGGAGUAGGGAGAGGCCUUCUGGCCCCCCGGGGAGAGCCUGGCCUCCUCUGUCCCAGAGGCAGUUAACCGCCUCUUGGGACACUCCCUCCGCCUCCCCCCAGGGCUGCUCCUCUGUGAGGGCAUUAAAUAUUUAUGAAUCAGCGCAUUUCCGAUGUUUUCUGAGCAAUACGUUUGCGUGAUGUGGGUGUUGGUGAGCGAGGCCCCCGCCAGGACCGGCUGGCCUGUGAAUCCCACUUGUCACCCCCCCUUCCCACACCACGAGCCAUAACCUGGGGGUGGAGAGAGUCCCAGUCU